rnacentral:misc_RNA from 1 species
AAGUUAUGAACAAGUCUCUUAUUUGUCAACAUUGUACUAAGCCCUUUAUUGCAUAUGAGAGGAGUGUGCUUGGAGCUCCUACAGCAACUAACUUGAAUCAGUCUGCAUUUACUGAAAAGAAAGAUAUGCCAAAUCAAAAGAAAGAUACGCCAAAUCAGGCUUUUAGCAAAGUGGAACUUACUCAUCAGGGCAAUUCAAGCUCUGGGCAAUCUAGAACAGAGUUCUUUCAGAAGAAAGGUUUCAGUUCUGAGUUAGGUUCACAAAAGGUAAAUGGCAAGAGACAGAGGAAAAAAGGUUCUGAAUCAAGUGAAAGUUUUGACAAUGAUAGUAGCAUUGAUACUGAAGAAGAUGCGGUAGUUGAUGAAGAUGGUGAUUUUAAGACAGCAGUGAAUUCGGGGUGUCAUGGAGAGCACCUGAGGAGAUCUGAUCGACAUAAGCGGAAGGUUUCUUAUAAGGAAAAUUUGAGUGAAGAUGAAGAUUUUGUGACCCCAUCAAAGAAGCCCAAGGGAAGUGAAUCAUCCUGUGCCAGUGAAGAAGGGUGCAGAAAUGGAUUGAAGGACAAUUUUUUUAAAACGAAUAAGCAUUCUGGUGAAUCUGGUCUAACUUCUGGUGUGAAAGAUCAGAAUGAGAAACAGAAAGAAGGUCCAGAGAGCUUUCCAAAUGAAACUAAGGAAACCAAGAAUGUAAAGGGAAAAGAAAAGGCAGAAGAAAGUGGCUGUAAGAAGAGUUCUGAGGCUCAUGUUGACUUUGCAUCACAUUCAAGCACCG